GAUUACGGCCAUACCACACUGACAACUUCUGAUCUCGGAAGCUAAGCAGAGUUGGGUUAGGUCAGUACUUGGAUGGGUGACCGCCUGGGAAUACCCGGUGCUGUAAGCA
ensembl:rRNA 5S_rRNA 5S ribosomal RNA